rnacentral:rRNA from 1 species
AACGAACGCUGGCGGCAUGCCUAACACAUGCAAGUCGAACGAGAAAGCACCUUCGGGUGUGAGUAGAGUGGCGCACGGGUGAGUAACACGUGGUGACCUACCGAUCCGCGGGGGAUAACCAGAAGAAAUUCUGGCUAAUACCGCAUACGUAGUGCAAUUUUAAAAGUAGCACUAGAAAGAAUGCCUCUGUAUAUGCAUUCACGGAACGAUGGGCCUGCGGGACAUUAGCUUGAUGGUGGGGUAAUGGCCUACCAUGGCAACGAUGUCUAGCGGAUCUGAGAGGAUGAUCCGUCACACUGGAACUGAGACACGGUCCAG